UACGUAGGGGGCGAGCGUUGUCCGGAUUUAUUGGGCGUAAAGAGCGUGUAGGCGGCUUGGUAGGUCUGCUGUGAAAACUCGGGGCUCAACCCCGAGACGUCGGUGGAAACCACCUGGCUAGAGUCCGGAAGAGGAGAGUGGAAUUCCUGGUGUAGCGGUGAAAUGCGCAGAUAUCAGGAGGAACACCGGUGGCGAAGGCGGAUCUCUGGGCCUGUUCUGACGCUGAGGCGCGAAAGCUAGGGGAGCGAACAGG
rnacentral:rRNA from 1 species